rnacentral:rRNA from 1 species
GGGUUGUGAGGUUAAGCGACUAAGCGUACACGGUGGAUGCCCUGGCAGUCAGAGGCGAUGAAGGGCGUGCUAAUCUGCGAUAAGCGCCGGUAAGGUGAUAUGAACCGUUAUAACCGGCGAUACCCGAAUGGGGAAACCCAGUGUGACUCGUCACACUAUCAUUAACUGAAUCCAUAGGUUAAUGAGGCGAACCGGGGGAACUGAAACAUCUAAGUACCCCGAGGAAAAGAAAUCAACCGAGAUUCCCCCAGUAGCGGCGAGCGAACGGGGAGGAGCCCAGAGCCUGAAUCAGCAUGUGUGUUAGUGGAAGCGUCUGGAAAGGCGCGCGAUACAGGGUGACAGCCCCGUACACAAAAGCGCAUGUGCUGUGAGCUCGAUGAGUAGGGCGGGACACGUGGUAUCCUGUCUGAAUAUGGGGGGACCAUCCUCCAAGGCUAAAUACUCCUGACUGACCGAUAGUGAACCAGUACCGUGAGGGAAAGGCGAAAAGAACCCCGGCGAGGGGAGUGAAAAAGAACCUGAAACCGUGUACGUACAAGCAGUGGGAGCACAGGUUUACCUGUGUGACUGCGUACCUUUUGUAUAAUGGGUCAGCGACUUAUAUUCUGUAGCAAGGUUAACCGCAUAGGGGAGCCGGAGGGAAACCGAGUCUUAAUUGGGCGUUAAGUUGCAGGGUAUAGACCCGAAACCCGGUGAUCUAGCCAUGGGCAGGUUGAAGGUUGGGUAACACUAACUGGAGGACCGAACCGACUAAUGUUGAAAAAUUAGCGGAUGACCUGUGGCUGGGGGUGAAAGGCCAAUCAAACCGGGAGAUAGCUGGUUCUCCCCGAAAGCUAUUUAGGUAGCGCCUCGUGAAUUCAUCUCCGGGGGUAGAGCACUGUUUCGGCUAGGGGGCCAUCCCGGCUUACCAACCCGAUGCAAACUGCGAAUACCGGAGAAUGUUAUCACGGGAGACACACGGCGGGUGCUAACGUCCGUCGUGAAGAGGGAAACAACCCAGACCGCCAGCUAAGGUCCCAAAGUCAUGGUUAAGUGGGAAACGAUGUGGGAAGGCCCAGACAGCCAGGAUGUUGGCUUAGAAGCAGCCAUCAUUUAAAGAAAGCGUAAUAGCUCACUGGUCGAGUCGGCCUGCGCGGAAGAUGUAACGGGGCUAAACCAUGCACCGAAGCUGCGGCAGCGACACUGUGUGUUGUUGGGUAGGGGAGCGUUCUGUAAGCCUGUGAAGGUGGCCUGUGAGGGUUGCUGGAGGUAUCAGAAGUGCGAAUGCUGACAUAAGUAACGAUAAAGCGGGUGAAAAGCCCGCUCGCCGGAAGACCAAGGGUUCCUGUCCAACGUUAAUCGGGGCAGGGUGAGUCGACCCCUAAGGCGAGGCCGAAAGGCGUAGUCGAUGGGAAACGGGUUAAUAUUCCCGUACUUGGUGUUACUGCGAAGGGGGGACGGAGAAGGCUAUGUUGGCCGGGCGACGGUUGUCCCGGUUUAAGCGUGUAGGUGUGUGUUCCAGGUAAAUCCGGUUCACUUUAACACUGAGGCGUGAUGACGAGGCACUACGGUGCUGAAGCAACAAAUGCCCUGCUUCCAGGAAAAGCCUCUAAGCAUCAGGUAACAUCAAAUCGUACCCCAAACCGACACAGGUGGUCAGGUAGAGAAUACCAAGGCGCUUGAGAGAACUCGGGUGAAGGAACUAGGCAAAAUGGUGCCGUAACUUCGGGAGAAGGCACGCUGACACGUAGGUGAAGUGAUUUACUCAUGGAGCUGAAGUCAGUCGAAGAUACCAGCUGGCUGCAACUGUUUAUUAAAAACACAGCACUGUGCAAACACGAAAGUGGACGUAUACGGUGUGACGCCUGCCCGGUGCCGGAAGGUUAAUUGAUGGGGUCAGCGCAAGCGAAGCUCCUGAUCGAAGCCCCGGUAAACGGCGGCCGUAACUAUAACGGUCCUAAGGUAGCGAAAUUCCUUGUCGGGUAAGUUCCGACCUGCACGAAUGGCGUAAUGAUGGCCAGGCUGUCUCCACCCGAGACUCAGUGAAAUUGAACUCGCUGUGAAGAUGCAGUGUACCCGCGGCAAGACGGAAAGACCCCGUGAACCUUUACUAUAGCUUGACACUGAACAUUGAGCCUUGAUGUGUAGGAUAGGUGGGAGGCUUUGAAGUG